AGCAUUGCGGCAGGCUUACCAUGCAAGUCGAGCGGUAGCACAAGGGAGCUUGCUCCCUGGGUGACGAGCGGCGGACGGGUGAGUAAUGUCUGGGAAACUGCCUGAUGGAGGGGGAUAACUACUGGAAACGGUAGCUAAUACCGCAUAACGUCGCAAGACCAAAGAGGGGGACCUUCGGGCCUCUUGCCAUCAGAUGUGCCCAGUAUCUGGGCGUUUUAAGGCUAUGCUAUACGGCGUUGGGUUAACUGGGCUCACCCUAUGGCGAACCGAUCCCUAGCUGGUCUGACGACGGGAAUGACCCAGGCCACACUGGAACUCGAGACACCGUUCCAGACUCCUACCGGGAGGCAGCAUUGGGGAAUAUUGCACAAUGGGCGCAAGCCCUGAUGCAAGCCAUGGCCGCGUGUGUGAAGAAGGCCUUUCCGGGCUUGUAAAGCACUUUCAGCGAGGAGGAAGGUGGUGAACCUUAAUACGUUCAUCAAUUGACGUUACUCGCAGAAGAAGCACCGGGCUAACUCCGUGCCAGCAGCCGCGGUAAUACGGAGGGUGCAAGCGUUAAUCGGAAUUACUGGGCGUAAAGCGCACGCAGGCGGUUUGUUAAGUCAGAUGUGAAAUCCCCGGGCUCAACCUGGGAACUGCAUUUGAAACUGGCAAGCUAGAGUCUCGUAGAGGGGGGUAGAAUUCCAGGUGUAGCGGUGAAAUGCGUAGAGAUCUGGAGGAAUACCGGUGGCGAAGGCGGCCCCCUGGACGAAGACUGACGCUCAGGUGCGAAAGCGUGGGGGAGCACACAGGAUUAGAUACCCCUGGUAGUCUACGCUGUAAACGAUGUCGAUUUUGAGGUUGUGCCCUUGAAUGCGUGGCUUCUGGAGCUAAUUCGUUCUAUCGACUGUCUGAGGGAGUACUGCCGCAAGGUUAAGACUGCGAGGGCAAUGAAUUGAUCGUAGGGGCCCGCACAAGCGGUGGGGCAUGUCGUGUGUUAAUAUCGAUGCAACGCGAGAGACACCUUAUCUACUGCUUGACAUCCAGAGACAGUUUCCAGAGAUGGUACUUGGUGCCUUCGGGAACUCUGAGGAGAGGUGCUGCAUGGCUGUCGUCACUUCUCGUGUUGUGAGAUGUUGGGUUAAGUCGCGCAACUAGUGCAACCCUUAUGCUUUGUUGCCAGCGGUUCGGCCGGGUACUCAAAUGGAGCCUGCCAGUGCCAUAAACUGAGAGAGAAGGUGAGGGAUGACGUCAAGUCAUCAUGGCCCUUACGAGUAGGGCUACACACGUGCUACAAUGGCAUAUACAAAGAGAAGCGACCUCGCGAGAGCAAGCGGACCUCAUAAAGUAUGUCGUAGUCCGGAUUGGAGUCUGCAACUCGACUCCAUGAAGUCGGAAUCGCUAGUAAUCGUAGAUCAGAAUGCUACGGUGAAUACGUUCCCGGGCCUUGUACACACCGCCCGUCACACCAUGGGAGUGGGUUGCAAAAGAAGUAGGUAGCUUAACCUUCGGGAGGGCGCUUACCACUUUGGAUUCAUGGU
rnacentral:rRNA from 1 species